UGGCUCAGAUUGAACGCUGGCGGCAGGCCUAACACAUGCAAAGUCGAGCGGUAGAGAGAAGCUUGCUUCUCUUGAGAGCGGCGGACGGGUGAGUAAUGCCUAGGAAUCUGCCUGGUAGUGGGGGAUAACGUUCGGAAACGGUCGCUAAUACCGCAUACGUCCUACGGGAGAAAGCAGGGGACCUUCGGGCCUUGCGCUAUCAGAUGAGCCUAGGUCGGAUUAGCUAGUUGGUGAGGUAAUGGCUCACCAAGGCGACGAUCCGUAACUGGUCUGAGAGGAUGAUCAGUCACACUGGAACUGAGACACGGUCCAGACUCCUACGGGAGGCAGCAGUGGGGAAUAUUGGNCAAUGGGCGAAAGCCUGAUCCAGCCAUGCCGCGUGUGUGAAGAAGGUCUUCGGAUUGUAAAGCACUUUAAGUUGGGAGGAAGGGUUGUAGAUUAAUACUCUGCAAUUUUGACGUUACCGACAGAAUAAGCACCGGCUAACUCUGUGCCAGCAGCCGCGGUAAUACAGAGGGUGCAAGCGUUAAUCGGAAUUACUGGGCGUAAAGCGCGCGUAGGUGGUUUGUUAAGUAGGAUGUGAAAUCCCCGGGCUCAACCUGGGAACUGCAUUCAAAACUGACUGACUAGAGUAUGGUAGAGGGUGGUGGAAUUUCCUGUGUAGCGGUGAAAUGCGUAGAUAUAGGAAGGA
rnacentral:rRNA from 1 species